rnacentral:rRNA from 1 species
UUAAGCGACUAAGCGUACACGGUGGAUGCCCUGGCAGUCAGAGGCGAUGAAGGACGUGCUAAUCUGCGAUAAGCGUCGGUAAGGUGAUAUGAACCGUUAUAACCGGCGAUUUCCGAAUGGGGAAACCCAGUGUGUUUCGACACACUAUCAUUAACUGAAUCCAUAGGUUAAUGAGGCGAACCGGGGGAACUGAAACAUCUAAGUACCCCGAGGAAAAGAAAUCAACCGAGAUUCCCCCAGUAGCGGCGAGCGAACGGGGAGCAGCCCAGAGCCUGAAUCAGUGUGUGUGUUAGUGGAAGCGUCUGGAAAGGCGCGCGAUACAGGGUGACAGCCCCGUACACAAAAAUGCACAUGCUGUGAGCUCGAUGAGUAGGGCGGGACACGUGGUAUCCUGUCUGAAUAUGGGGGGACCAUCCUCCAAGGCUAAAUACUCCUGACUGACCGAUAGUGAACCAGUACCGUGAGGGAAAGGCGAAAAGAACCCCGGCGAGGGGAGUGAAAAAGAACCUGAAACCGUGUACGUACAAGCAGUGGGAGCACGCUUAGGCGUGUGACUGCGUACCUUUUGUAUAAUGGGUCAGCGACUUAUAUUCUGUAGCAAGGUUAACCGAAUAGGGGAGCCGAAGGGAAACCGAGUCUUAACUGGGCGUUAAGUUGCAGGGUAUAGACCCGAAACCCGGUGAUCUAGCCAUGGGCAGGUUGAAGGUUGGGUAACACUAACUGGAGGACCGAACCGACUAAUGUUGAAAAAUUAGCGGAUGACUUGUGGCUGGGGGUGAAAGGCCAAUCAAACCGGGAGAUAGCUGGUUCUCCCCGAAAGCUAUUUAGGUAGCGCCUCGUGAAUUCAUCUCCGGGGGUAGAGCACUGUUUCGGCAAGGGGGUCAUCCCGACUUACCAACCCGAUGCAAACUGCGAAUACCGGAGAAUGUUAUCACGGGAGACACACGGCGGGUGCUAACGUCCGUCGUGAAGAGGGAAACAACCCAGACCGCCAGCUAAGGUCCCAAAGUCAUGGUUAAGUGGGAAACGAUGUGGGAAGGCCCAGACAGCCAGGAUGUUGGCUUAGAAGCAGCCAUCAUUUAAAGAAAGCGUAAUAGCUCACUGGUCGAGUCGGCCUGCGCGGAAGAUGUAACGGGGCUAAACCAUGCACCGAAGCUGCGGCAGCGACACUAUGUGUUGUUGGGUAGGGGAGCGUUCUGUAAGCCUGUGAAGGUGUGCUGUGAGGCAUGCUGGAGGUAUCAGAAGUGCGAAUGCUGACAUAAGUAACGAUAAAGCGGGUGAAAAGCCCGCUCGCCGGAAGACCAAGGGUUCCUGUCCAACGUUAAUCGGGGCAGGGUGAGUCGACCCCUAAGGCGAGGCCGAAAGGCGUAGUCGAUGGGAAACAGGUUAAUAUUCCUGUACUUGGUGUUACUGCGAAGGGGGGACGGAGAAGGCUAUGUUGGCCGGGCGACGGUUGUCCCGGUUUAAGCGUGUAGGCUGGUUUUCCAGGCAAAUCCGGAAAAUCAAGGCUGAGGCGUGAUGACGAGGCACUACGGUGCUGAAGCAACAAAUGCCCUGCUUCCAGGAAAAGCCUCUAAGCAUCAGGUAACAUCAAAUCGUACCCCAAACCGACACAGGUGGUCAGGUAGAGAAUACCAAGGCGCUUGAGAGAACUCGGGUGAAGGAACUAGGCAAAAUGGUGCCGUAACUUCGGGAGAAGGCACGCUGAUAUGUAGGUGAAGUCCCUUGCGGAUGGAGCUGAAAUCAGUCGAAGAUACCAGCUGGCUGCAACUGUUUAUUAAAAACACAGCACUGUGCAAACACGAAAGUGGACGUAUACGGUGUGACGCCUGCCCGGUGCCGGAAGGUUAAUUGAUGGGGUUAGCCGCAAGGCGAAGCUCUUGAUCGAAGCCCCGGUAAACGGCGGCCGUAACUAUAACGGUCCUAAGGUAGCGAAAUUCCUUGUCGGGUAAGUUCCGACCUGCACGAAUGGCGUAAUGAUGGCCAGGCUGUCUCCACCCGAGACUCAGUGAAAUUGAACUCGCUGUGAAGAUGCAGUGUACCCGCGGCAAGACGGAAAGACCCCGUGAACCUUUACUAUAGCUUGACACUGAACAUUGAGCCUUGAUGUGUAGGAUAGGUGGGAGGCUUUGAAGUGUGGACGCCAGUCUGCAUGGAGCCGACCUUGAAAUACCACCCUUUAAUGUUUGAUGUUCUAACGUUGACCCGUAAUCCGGGUUGCGGACAGUGUCUGGUGGGUAGUUUGACUGGGGCGGUCUCCUCCUAAAGAGUAACGGAGGAGCACGAAGGUUGGCUAAUCCUGGUCGGACAUCAGGAGGUUAGUGCAAUGGCAUAAGCCAGCUUGACUGCGAGCGUGACGGCGCGAGCAGGUGCGAAAGCAGGUCAUAGUGAUCCGGUGGUUCUGAAUGGAAGGGCCAUCGCUCAACGGAUAAAAGGUACUCCGGGGAUAACAGGCUGAUACCGCCCAAGAGUUCAUAUCGACGGCGGUGUUUGGCACCUCGAUGUCGGCUCAUCACAUCCUGGGGCUGAAGUAGGUCCCAAGGGUAUGGCUGUUCGCCAUUUAAAGUGGUACGCGAGCUGGGUUUAGAACGUCGUGAGACAGUUCGGUCCCUAUCUGCCGUGGGCGCUGGAGAACUGAGGGGGGCUGCUCCUAGUACGAGAGGACCGGAGUGGACGCAUCACUGGUGUUCGGGUUGUCAUGCCAAUGGCACUGCCCGGUAGCUAAAUGCGGAAGAGAUAAGUGCUGAAAGCAUCUAAGCACGAAACUUGCCCCGAGAUGAGUUCUCCCUGACUCCUUGAGAGUCCUGAAGGAACGUUGAAGACGACGACGUUGAUAGGCCGGGUGUGUAAGCGCAGCGAUGCGUUGAGCUAACCGGUACUAAUGAACCGUGAGGCUUAACCUU